rnacentral:rRNA from 1 species
GGAUUAGAUACCCUGGUAGUCCACGCCGUAAACGAUGUCAACUAGCUGUUGGUCAUAUUAAUGUGAUUAGUGGCGAAGCAAACGCGGUAAGUUGACCGCCUGGGGAGUACGGUCGCAAGAUUAAAACUCAAAGGAAUUGACGGGGGCCCGCACAAGCGGUGGAGCAUGUGGUUUAAUUCGAUGCAACGCGAAGAACCUUACCUACCCUUGACAUACAGCGAAGAUUUCAGAGAUGAGAUUGUGCCUUCGGGAACGCUGAUACAGGUGCUGCAUGGCUGUCGUCAGCUCGUGCCG